CUUCUGGUAACUUCAAAGGCAAGCUGCAGGAGGGUGCAAACCAGUGAAGUGGGUGGUUGACUGGUAGUGUAGAGGUCUGGAUUCUGUUCUCCAUUUUUCAGUUUGACCUUCUGCCUGACCCUGGGACCUCUCUUUGUCCAUCUUGUCUAUUCACAUUGAUGGCUUUCACUCACUGCCUGUUGCUGGAUUCAUUUGCCCCUGGAUUAUAAUUUAACCCUUAUCUGGAGCAUGAACCAGGAACGCAACUGAUGACCAACGUUAAAGAAAUACACAUUACUUCCUGAGAGACUGGCUGAUAAUAAGUGACCUGAAGAAGGCCACAAAUUCAAUGCCACAAUCUGGUGUGCAAGUUCCUGAUCAAGUGAUGCAGAGCACAAAGGCAACUCUUGUUCACCCUUUUUCACCAGUUUCCACAUGCAUUUGACCACGUAUCUGCAUAAAACUGCCUUGAGGGCUUUGUGGCAGUGCGUGUUUGAUACAGAUGAAUUGCAAGGACCGGAUGUAACUUCUAGCUGAUUGUUUGAGGAGAGCAGGUCUCGCCUGCUGAGCUACUGUUUGAAGAUAUUUUUUAACAACUUUGAGCCAGCAAAGACAGUAAGUUCAAAGCCUCUUGUCCUGAGACAAUGGUUUUCCAAUGCAUGACUAUGCACCCUGAAAGUGGAAUUCCAAUCUCAAGAAAACCCAAUCUGAGGAAUGUCUGCCAGUAAAGCAGGCAUUCCAUAUUUUCUGUUAUGAGACACUCUGAUCCAGCCAUAUCAGAAUGUGCAGUGUCCUUUUAUAUACUUUUAAAAAGGGCCAUCUGGCCGUUCUGACCACAGAGCUGUCAGCAGCCAUCAUCCAAACAAAGUGAUUUUGCUUGUUUAUUGCUGUGACUUUGUGGCUUGUUUUGUUUUGUCCAUUUGUUUUCAUUGUGAAUUGCAGACCAAAGAAACUCGCCAUACUGUAGGUCCAAUUUCUGACAUUUUUUUAGCUGAUAAACAUGCAAGUCAAC
ensembl:lncRNA